ACUGGGCUGUGUUUACAGAGCGCUGCUCUCGAGGCGCGUGGCUGCUGAAGAUACCUGCAAACUUUGUGUUGUGAGGAAUGAUCGCCUGCUGUUUUGCAUGAAGUUGCAGUUUUAAAGAGGGAGACAGCUCGACCAGCGCGAUACCUUUCCAUUCUAAGGUGUGCUCUCAUCUCUUCUGAAGCUUCACCACGGCCCUCACCUGCGUGCUCCACUGUUUCUCCUGUGAGUCGUCCUGGGCUGAGCGGCCCUUCCUGCUCUGCCCCCGCGCCGUCUCUCCCGCCACGGUCGCCAUGACGCGCUCCAAAACCUUUCAGGCCUACCUGCCCAACUGCCAUCGCACCUACAGCUGCAUUCACUGCCGAGCACACCUGGCCAACCAUGAUGAGCUCAUCUCAAAGGAGGCCACAGGAGAGGAUACGUCAAAACUGAACAGGAUGGAGAACAGCGACGCGGGUGUUUUCAAAUAUGAGACACACGUGUGUUUAUCCAGUGCAGAG